AUUGCAAUACCAGUACCUAUAUGAUCACCAAAGUUAAGCAACACUGAGCAUGGGUAGUACCUUGAUGAGUGACUGCUUGGGAAUACCAGGUGCUGUAA